rnacentral:rRNA from 1 species
AGCGAACGCUGGCGGCAGGCCUAACACAUGCAAGUCGAGCGCCGUAGCAAUACGGAGCGGCAGACGGGUGAGUAACGCGUGGGAACGCGCCCUUUAGUUCGGAAUAACCCAGGGAAACUUGGGCUAAUACCGGAUACGCCCUUCGGGGGAAAGAUUUAUCGCUAAAGGAUCGGCCCGCGUAAGAUUAGCUAGUUGGUAAGGUAACGGCUCACCAAGGCUAUGAACUUUAGCUGUUCUGAGAGGAAGAUCGGCCACACUGGGACUGAGACACGGCCCAGACUCCUACGGGAGGCAGCAGUGGGGAAUAUUGGACAAUGGGCGCAAGCCUGAUCCAGCCAUGCCGCGUGAGUGAUGAAGGCCUUAGGGUUGUAAAGCUCUUUUACCAGGGAAGAUAAUGACGGUACCUGGAGAAUAAGCCCCGGCUAACUUCGUGCCAGCCGCCGCAGUAAUAC